GACGAACGCUGGCGGCGUGCCUAAUACAUGCAAGUAGAACGCAGUUGCGAACGGGUGAGUAACGCGUAGGUAACUGCCUCAAAGCGGGGGAUAACUAGUGGAAACGAUAGCUAAUACCGCAUACUGUGAGAUGGACCUGCGGUGUAUUAGGUAGUUGGUGAGGUAAAGGCUCAACAAGGCGACGAUACAUAGCCGACCUGGGAGGGUUGACGGCCACACUGGGGCCGGGACACGGCCCAGGCUCCUACGGGAGGCAAGAGUUGGGAAUCUUCGGGAAUGGGCGGAAAUCUGACCGGGCAACGCCGCGGGGGUGGAGAAAGGUUUCGGGUCGUAAAACCCUGUUGUUAGGGAAACGGUAACUAACCAGAAAGGGACGGCUAACUACGUGCCAGCAGCCGCGGUAAUAC
rnacentral:rRNA from 1 species